CUGCACCUGCCCCUAUAUUCAUUGCCUUGGACUGUACUCAGUUUAGCUUCCCUCCCCUGCCCUCAUGCUCUAGCCAAAGUUGCAGCUGGUACGUGGUAGUUCAUGUAUCCAUGCUGGUAGUAGCUCUUCUCCUCAGCCACCAGUGCAGUUUACCCUUGUUCAUCACAGCCAACUCCUGUGUUUGGUGACCACAACAGCAAUCCUUCAACCUCACCAUGGCCAGGGUUCGUGGAGAUUGUCUCGAACGAGGUUGCACUGUCACAGCUUGGCGCCGUGGACAGCUUCCCCGCCGACGCAUCAACCCAUGUAGUCUCUGGUUGUUUUCACGCGAGCAAUGUGAUCUUGUUAGGUCGCUGAAGCUCUCCGUGUUCAUAGAACACCUAGAAGAAGUGGUGUUUGAAGGAGGAGUCUACUCCAGUGGCUACUGAUCAGUUGGAGGAGCCAUCUAACCGGGUAUUGGGUGGAAAGGUCUUUAGCCUCUUCUCUACAACAAAGGUGAUGAGGAGUACUCUAAGUGUUCCUGUGGCUGGAGGGCGUUUCCAGUUCUGGAGGAAGAUUAGCUAGGCUUGUGUAUAAGCUUUGGAGGGUUCCUACCUUCUUGCUAUUGUAAUAAGUUAUGCACUUUGAGUAUAUCAGGACUUGUAAUAAA
rnacentral:lncRNA from 1 species